rnacentral:rRNA from 1 species
AGUGAACGCUGGCGGCAUGCCUAAUACAUGCAAGUCGAGCGACCAGACGAUGAGCUUUCGCCUCUAACGUUAGCGACGGACGGGUGAGUAAGGCGUGGAUAACCUUCCUCUAAUACUUGGGUAACUUCGGAGAGCAAGAGCUACUAACACCUCAUAUAUCGUACCGGAGGGUUCAAUAGUUCAACGCAGUUUUGCUGUCACUUAUAGCUGGAGCCGCGCCGCCUUGGCUAGUUGGUAAGGUAACGGCUUAGCAAGGCAACGAUGCGUAGCCGACUGGAGAGGGUGAUCGGCCACACUGAAACUGAGACACGGUCCAGCCCCCUACGGGAGGCAGCGGUAGGGAAUCUUGCGCAAUGGGCGAAAGCCUGACGGAGCAACGCGGCGUGAGUGAUGAAGGUCUUCGGAUCGUAAAACUCUGUUAUUAGGGAAGAAAAAAUGUGGAAGUAACCAUGCACGUCUGGACGGUACCUAUCAGAAAGCAACGGCUAACUACGUG